rnacentral:tRNA from 1 species
GCUGCAGUGGCUCAGUGGUAGAGCCCCGCUUCGCAUGCGGGGAGACCUGGGUUCGAUUCCCGGCUGCUUCC